GACGAACGCUGGCGGUGUGCUUAACACAUGUAAGUCGAACGGUAAGGCCCUUUCGGGGGUCCACGAGUGGCGAACGGGUGAGUAACACGUGAGUAACCUGCCCUCAUCUCUGGGAUAACAGUCGGAAACGGUUGCUAAUACUGGAUAUGAGCUUGCAAGGCAUCUUGUGGGUUGGAAAGAUUUUUUUUGGUUGGGGAUGGACUCGCGGCCUAUCAGCUUGUUGGUGAGGUAGUGGCUCACCAAGGCUUCGACGGGUAGCCGGCCUGAGAGGGCGACCGGCCACAUUGGGACUGAGAUACGGCCCAAACUCCUACGGGAGGCAGCAGUGGGGAAUAUUGCACAAUGGACGGAAGUCUGAUGCAGCAACGCCGCGUGCGGGAUGACGGCCUUCGGGUUGUAAACCGCUUUCAAUUGUGACGAAGCUUUUUUGUGACGGUAGCAGUAGAAGAAGCACCGGCUAACUACGUG
rnacentral:rRNA from 1 species